UACGUAGGCAGCGAGCGUUGUUCGGAAUUACUGGGCGUAAAGGGCGCGUAGGCGGCCUUCUAAGUCAGACGUGAAAUCCCCCGGCUUAACCGAGGAAUUGCGCCCAAAACUACUGUGCUCGAGGGAGAUAGAGGUGAGCGGAACUUAGGGUGGAGCGGUGAAAUGCGUUGAUAUCCUAAGGAACACCGGUGGCGAAAGCGGCUCACUGGAUCUCUUCUGACGCUGAGGCACGAAAGCUAGGGUAGCAAACGGG
rnacentral:rRNA from 1 species